rnacentral:rRNA from 1 species
CGGGGGGCGUGCUUACACAUGCAGUCGAACGAUGAUGCCCAGCUUGCUGGGUGGAUUAGUGGCGAACGGGUGAGUAACACGUGAGUAACCUGCCCUUGACUUCGGGAUAACUCCGGGAAACCGGGGCUAAUACCGGAUAUGAGCUACCUUCGCAUGGGGGUGGUUGGAAAGUUUUUCGGUCAGGGAUGGGCUCGCGGCCUAUCAGCUUGUUGGUGGGGUGAUGGCCUACCAAGGCGACGACGGGUAGCCGGCCUGAGAGGGCGACCGGCCACACUGGGACUGAAACACGGCCCAAACUCCUACGGGAGGCAGCAGUGGGGAAUAUUGCACAAUGGGCGAAAGCCUGAUGCAGCGACGCCGCGUGAGGGAUGAAGGCCUUCGGGUUGUAAACCUCUUUCAGCAGGGAAGAAGCGCAAGUGACGGUACCUGCAGAAGAAGCGCCGGCUAACUACGUGCCAGCAGCCGCGGUAAUACGUAGGGCGCAAGCGUUGUCCGGAAUU